rnacentral:hammerhead_ribozyme from 1 species
AUUUAGCUGACUAGUCUCAAUUAGGACGAAACGCGCAUCCUGGAU